CGUGUAGGCGGCUCUUUAAGUCUGAAGUGAAAGUCCUGCUUUCAAGGUGGGAAUUGCUUUGGAGACUGGAGAGCUUGAGUGCGGAAGAGGUAAGUGGAAUUCCCAGUGUAGCGGUGAAAUGCGUAGAGAUUGGGAGGAACACCAGUGGCGAAGGCGACUUACUGGGCCGUAACUGACGCUGAGGCGCGAAAGCGUGGGGAGCGAACA
rnacentral:rRNA from 1 species